AGUUAAAAAAUUUAUUCAUUUGUAUCAUUAAAAACUGGUGUGACCGAUAGAAUAACUAAAUAGUGACAUAUGCGUGUCAUGUGUACCUCAUGCUGACAUAUAAGUAUCAAUUAUUAAUAAUAAAAAUAAAUAGAAUUUUUAAUA
rfam:Gossypium hirsutum cultivar TM-1 chromosome 13, whole genome shotgun sequence